rnacentral:rRNA from 1 species
GAUGAACGCUAGCGAUAGGCUUAACACAUGCAAGUCGAGGGGCAGCAUGGUCUUAGCUUGCUAAGACUGAUGGCGACCGGCGCACGGGUGCGUAACGCGUAUGCAACUUGCCUCACAGAGGGGGAUAACCCGUCGAAAGACGGACUAAUACCGCGUACACUUGGGAUAGGGCAUCCUGACCCAAGGAGAUGAAAUUCGCUGUGAGAUAGGCAUGCGUCCCAUUAGCUAGUUGGUGAGGUAACGGCUCACCAAGGCGACGAUGGGUAGGGGAACUGAGAGGUUGAACCCCCACACUGGUACUGAGACACGGACCAGACUCCUACGGGAGGCAGCAGUGAGGAAUAUUGGUCAAUGGGCGAGAGCCUGAACCAGCCAAGUCGCGUGAAGGAUGACUGUCUUAUGGAUUGUAAACUUCUUUUAUACGGGAAUAACAAGAGCCACGUGUGGCUCCCUGCAUGUACCGUAUGAAUAAGCAUCGGCUAACUCCGUG